UACUGAUAAAUUAUGAUCAGCAGUGGCACCCAAAAUAAAAGAUGUUUAAACUUGCUUAAGUGAAAAUUGUACAGUAGCUUUAAUUUGUAAUUUUCAUAAUUUAUUAUUAUUAAAAUUUUAAACAGUACAAAGUUACCCUCACUUAUGGCUGCAAUUUAUGCUUUUAAACUGAUCCUUUGUUACUUCCCUUUAAUUCCCUAACCAAGAUUCUAUAAUCCUAAAUACAAAUGACAAAAGAUAGAGGGAAUCGCUUCUCGGCCUUUUGGCUAAGAUCAAGAGUAAAAGAUAUAGGAAGACAAUUGCUGAUAAAGAAUAGCACAAGAGUAAUUUUCAGGGUUCCUCAAAUACUUAUUAAGCUGUUUGCAUAGCCCAACACUGACAUGCAUACAAAGUUAAUACACUGUUCAAUAAAGAAACUGUAAGAUUUUCCUUCUUUUGCAUGAGCAGUGGUUCAUGAAAAAGUUGGCCUACUAGAGUAAUGAGAUUAUGUUGUAAAUCUGCUAUAAGGAAGACAAUUUGACAAUUCCAAAUAAGGGUCAUUACAUAGUGUGGACAAAUAAAUCACAUAAAAAGAAGACAGCUAUUUUAGACAUUAUUCAAUAUACUGCUAUUUUAGACAAACUUCAUUAAACUUUGAAGGUUUUUAUUUUAAUAUCAUGGCCCAUACAUAAAAGGUAUCACUUUAACCUGAGAAGUCCUAGAAUACUUUAAACAUUGGAAUCUUAGAAGGGGAAACUUAAUUGUACAGUCAUAAUACAUCCUCACAAACCAAGUAGAAGGAAACAAAAUCACCACAAAAGAGUCAGACAGGUCAUGAGAACUGUCAUAUCUCAGCUACUCUAUUUACUAUAAAGCAUGAAUAGUAUUACUUACCUGCCUCACUGAAAUUAACAUUUCCCUGACAGUAAAUCCUAGGUUUUUUUGUUUGUUUUAAGGAGUUAUCCAUUCCUUUUACACUUCACCCCUUGGAAAUAAUUAUUAUUUUCCCACUUGCAUUUUUGUUAUUUUCUUAUCGCUUUUGUCCUUUCAUAACUGAAAUGCACAGAAUUCUUGCAUUGUGUUUCUAGGGUAUAAAAUAAAUCCCACUCAACAUUUGGCAUGGGUCACCCCAACCUAUCUUUAAUAAGGCAGUAAUCCCUUUCCUCAUAGGUGCUGCAUCAUUCUGACAAUCAUGGCACUGGUAUAAUUUCCUUUGCCAACAUGACAAAACAGGGAACAUUCUGCACUGCCUCACAAGCACCAGCCCAGUGAGACUAUGAGCUCAGCUCUCUCGUAGUACAAUACCACUGUGAGAAAGUUAAAAGGUCCAUGUAAUAAUCUUUACAUUUUACGGAUUCUCCACGAACUUUAAUAACUAAGAAUAUCAUUAGUGUUUAAUGAUUUUUUUCUUUGUUAAUACCAUGUAGCUACCAUAUUAAUACCAGUAAGGCCUACACUGCUAUUUAGUAAUUUCUUUAAAUAAGCAUUCUCAAAGCAUCUUUUAAAUUAUAUUCCAUUUGAAAUUUAAAGAAAAGAAUCAUUCAGAAGAACAUAAUUAAUCCAAAGGAACAAUCAAUUACCUUUUACUAUUAGGCUCUUGAUUUUACAAUAGGCUACCCUAAAAAGUCUUCCUGAUUGAUUCUCCAAAUUGGGAUAAAAGUGACAUCCACUAACAGGUCCAAACAAAAUUCCUAUUUCCAAGAAGCCAGAUAAGAAAAAUAUACAACAUAAUUCAUUUUUUGCUGGAUGUAACUACAACAAGAAAGGCUGGUUGAGCCACAUUAAACCUGGCUCAAUCAUGUAAUGGUCUCAGUUUGGGAUAAACUGAAUUUAUAAUGUACGACAGAAACGAAGUUGUAAUGUACAAAUGUAUAAUUUACUUAAACAGUUGCUUCCAUAUGGGAAGCAACAGAUUGCCCAGAUGCAUUUUGGCUAAGACUAAUCCUACCAUUAUUCAGGGUAAAACAAUUUUGCUAAAAUCUGGAAACCCUGCAGAAAACAUCUUUAAGUCUGCCUGAUGACUCUUGACAUUUUUUUUUUCCCUCGGAAUAGUAUAGAACUGUGUCCUCCUUUCUAAAUGAUCCAGACCUACAUUUAGCACAUAGGAAUUGUCUGGGAAAUCAUGUCUCACAUAUUUUACAAAUGAGAUAACCACUUAAGCCAUUUAGCUAGAUUUUCAUGAUUCAAACAAAAAAUGAAAUAAAAUUCAGAAAUGAAGAAGAGAUAGAAAAAACAACAAAUACUUGUUGGCAUAUUCCUUUCUAAAUAUUUAAUAUUGUAAGGAAAACAUACUUUGAAGGAAAUGGGUCUUUUUCUUUCUCAUUUUAUAUUUCAGUUGAUACCAAAGUAGAACUCCUACAUAUUUGAUAAUAUUCCCUCCUGGUUAAGUUAUACUCCAGGAGAAGUAUUUUAUGAGCUGUAGAACAUUCUUAUGCAUGACCUUAACAUUUUAGAACAGGUUGAUGGAUAAACAGCACAUUUUCUAUAUUGAUGCAUAAAUGAUCUGGAUCCCAGGAUAUAUCUUCAAAGUUUGAAAACUUACAUUGUCCAGUAAAAAUCUGUCAUUAUCACCCUUUGAAAGGUCUUGAAACUGAAACUAUCUAUGGCCAAAUAUCAUUUUCUGAAAUCUGUCCCUCGUGCAUGGAUUUAUGAGUCCCACAGUUAGACAAAGGGAAAUUAUCCAAGGUAAAGUUGUCCAAACAGGCAGUUAUCCAACAGAAUGGAGCCAAGGCAAUUCUCCAGAGAUAAUUGCACAGGUUCAACUGCAGCUGUGUGGGAAGUAUGGACACCAAUCAACUCUAUGAAGAGUUUGGGUGUCUCCAGGAAAAACAAACUGGAAAGACUGUUUUUGUUCCUAGGCUAUUGGAUUUUUAAGUGGGAAGGAGACUUAAAGAAUGUACAUAUCUGUAAUAUUUCUACUUCUAAAUUUUACAUUCUAAAUAUUACAUUGUGUUAUGUGAUAUUACAAUUGUUAUAAUAUCACAAACUUUUUGCAGCUCUGAAGUACUCAAACAGGAAGCCAAAUAGUAUAAACACGAUGCAACAAUAUCAGACACUUCCAGAGAGGCCUGUGAAGCAACCGAGGCACAGAGCUCACAUGGCCUUCUGGGGAGCAUCCUCCUUCUGAGGAGGAGGUUGCUGGCAAAGUUGGUGUAGUUUCAUACAGAAUUAAGAUGGCAGAAUAGAAGGACUGGAGCGCAACAUCUCUCCUAAAAACAACACGAUUACAACCAAAUGAUGAGCACUCGUCAACCAAAUGAAUUUGAAACUUUUAAAAAGAUAUCCUACUGCAUAAGACAAAGAGGAGACCACAUCAAGAGGUAGAAAGGGCAAUUUCGCAAUAUAAGCAACCCCAUAUCUCCCACAUGGGAAGCCCCAUAGACUGGAAAGUAACUGUAUCACAGAGACUCACCUAUAAGAGUGAGAGUUGUGAGCCCCACAUCAAGUCCGCAUGCCUGGGGAUCUGGAAUUGAAGGCCAAUGGGGCUUGUGCACAGAGGCUCCACAGGACUGGGAGAAACAGAGACCCCAUUCUUAAAAGGCCCAUGCAGACUUUCACAUGCACUGAGGCCCAGGACAAAGCAAAGUCUCCAUAGGAAUCUGGGUCAGACCUGACUGCAGUUCUUGGAGGACAUCCUGGGAAAAUAGGGGCUGAAUGUGGCUGUUGUGGGGGAAGGGCACUGGAAGCAAAGCUCUUGGGAAUAUUCAUCAGUAUGCAUUUCUCUGGAGGUGGCCAAUUUGGGAAAAUAAGUCCCCAUCCAUCAGUGCUGAGAAGCUCCAGGGAAAACAACAAUCCAGGUGGGAUCACAGCCCCACCCAUCAGGAAACAGGCUACCUAAAGACCCCCCAGGCACUCAGCCCUACCUCUAAUUCCAUCCAGAAACAAAGCCCCACCCACCAGAGGGACAGGAAUCACCUCUACCUACCAGUGGGCAGGCAUCAGUCCCUCCCAUCAGGAAGCCUACAGCAAGCCCCCCAUACCGACUUCAGCCACAGGGGGCAGACACCAGAAGUAAGAAAGGCUACAACUCUAGUAGCUGUAAAAAGGUCACCACACCAAAAACCUAUAAAAAUGAAAAGACAGAGAACCACAACUCAGAUGAGAGAGAAAGGAGAAACCCCAGAAAAUAAGCUAAGCAAUGAGGAGAUUCUUAGCCUCCAGGAAAAAGACUUUAGACUGUGGAUGCUGAAGAUGAUGCAAGACAUUGGAAAUAAACUGGAGGCAAAGAUAUAUAACUUACAGGAAACACUGAGCAAAGUAAUACAAGAUAUAAAACUUAAACAAGAAGAGAUGCAAAAUACAAUAACUGAAAUAAAACAUUCACUAGAAGCAGCUGAGAGCAGAAUACAGGAGGCAGAAGAAAGAAUAAGCGAGGUGGAGGACAGAUUAGCAGAACUUAUGGAUGCAGAACAGAAAAGAAAAAAAAGACUGAAAAGAAAUGAAGAGAGUCUCAGAGAACUCUGAGACAACGUGAAACACAACAACAUCCGUAUUAUAGGGGUGCCAGAAGGAGAAGAGAGAGAGAAGGGGACAGAAAAAAUAUUCCAAGAGAUAAUAGCUGAAAACUUCCCUCACAUGGGAAAGGAACCACUCACUCAAAUCCAGGAAGUGCAACAAGUACCAUAUAAAAUAAACCCAAGGAGGAACACUGCAAGAUACAUAUUAAUCAAACUGACCAAAAUUAAAGACAAAGAAAAAAUAUUGAAAGCAGCUAGGGAAAAGAAUCAAAUAACAUGCAACGGAACCCUGAUAAGGUUACAGGCAGAUUUUUCAGCAAAACUCUGAAGGCCAGAAGGGAGUGGUAUGAUAUGCUUAAUGUGAUGAAAGGAAAAAAACCUCCAACCAGGAGUUCCUGUUGUGACACAGUGGUUAACGAAUCCUACUAGGAAUCAUGAGGUUGCGGGUUUGGUCCCUGGCCUUGCUCAGCAGGUUAAGGGUCAUGAGCUGUUGCCAUGAGCUGUUGUGUAGGUCGCACAUGUGGCUCAGAUCCCACGUAGCUGUGGCUCUGGCAUAGGCCGGUGGCUACAGCUCCAAUUCGACUCCAAGCCUGGGAACCUCCAUAUGCCACAGGAGCGGCUCAAGAAAAGGCAAAAAGACAGGGAAAAAAACCUCCAACCAAGAUUACUUUACCUGGCAAGGAUCUCAUUCAAAUUUGAAGGAGAAAUCAAAAGCUUCACAGAUAAGCAAAAGAUAAGAGAAUUCAGCAACACUAAACCAACUUUACAACAAAUACUAAAGGAAGUUCUCUAGGCAGAAAAGAAAAGUCCGCAAGCAGAAACAAAAAUCCCACAAAACACAAGGCUCACCAGUAAAGAUAUAUAUACAGUAAAGUGCCAACCAAAAAUCUACAUUUGAUACACAAACAAAUAAGAAAAAUCAACUCAACUAUGACAUGAAAGAUAGUCAUCAACCAGAAGAGGAGAGAACAAGAGAAGAAGGGAAGAAAAAAGAGCAACAAAAAUAAAUCCAAAGCAAUUAAUAAAAUGGCAAAAAGAACAUAUACAUCAAUAAUUACCUUAAAUGUUAUUGGACUAAACGCCCCAACCAAAAGACAUAGACUGGCUGAAUGGAUACAAAAAAAAUACCCAUUAUUAUUAUAUUAUCUUCAAGAGACCCACUUCACUUCUAGGGACACAUACAAAUUGAAAGUGAGAGGAUGGGAGAAAAUACUCCAUUCAAAUGGGAAUUAAAAGAAAGCUGGAGUAGCAAUGUUCACAUCAGACGGAAUAGACUUUAAAAUGAAGAAUAUUUUAAGGGACAAAGAAGGUCAUUACAUAAUGAUCAAAGGAUCAAUCCAAGAAGAUAUAGCAAUUUUAAAUAUCUACACACCCAACAUAGGUUCACCACAAUAUAUAAGGCAACUGCCAACAACCUUUAAAGGACAAAUCAACAAUAACAUGCUAAUAGUGGGGGACGUUCACGCCCCACUUACAGCAAUGGACAGAUCAUCCAUAUAGAAAAUCAGUAAGGAAAACACAGCUCCUGAAUGAAGCAUUAGACCAGCUGGAUUUCAUAGAUAUUUAUGGGACUUUCCAUUCAAAAGCAACAGAAUACUCAUUCUUCUCAAGUGCACAUGGAACAUUCUCUAAGAUUGAUCAUAUCCUGGGCUACAAAUCCAACCUCAGUAACUUUAAGAAAAUUGAAAUCGGAGUUCCCGUCGUGGCACAGUGGUUAACGAAUCCGACUAGGAACCAUGAGGUUGCGGGUUCGGUCCCUGCCCUUGCUCAGUGGGUUAACGAUCCGGCGUUGCCGUGAGCUGUGGUGUAGGUUGCAGAUGCGGCUCGGAUCCCGCGUUGCUGUGGCUCUGGUGUAGGCCGGGGGCUACAGCUCCGAUUGGACCCCUAGCCUGGGAACCUCCAUAUGCCGCGGGAGCGCCCAAGAAAUAGCAACAACAACAACAACAACAAUAAC
rnacentral:lncRNA from 1 species